CGGGCGGGUUCCGGCCAAUAUGCGACGCUGGGUACUACCUCUCAGAUUCUCCAGAGGGGAGUGGAGCUGGAGGCCAAGGAGGGCCAGAGAGGAUAACAAACCUACAGCUUACUUACUACCUGACCUGAAGAUUUGGGGGUCAUCAACCCUUGCAACCACAUGAGUCAAGAGAAGCCUGAUGCCUGACCCUCCAGUUUGAGACUUGGCAGCCCCCACCCUGCAGGAGCCAUUGCCUUGAAAUGCAAGGAAUCCCAUCCCAGAUACCACGUUACAGAAUUUCAUCAUCAGGGUGUUGGAGGACAGCUCUACACCACAGAUAUGGAGACACACCCGUAGCUAUGGUUAGAGAGCCUCCUGGCGCAGUGGGUGAGUCAAGAGGUUAACGCCCCUCAUGCCUCAAAAUCUCCUUCCCUACCUUGUCACCUUAAUGCCUUCUGAUUCUUCCCCAUCCCCGGUGUGCCAGUGCCACUAAACUCACUCUCCUCUUGCGGUCUUCUCCCCAGUUCUGGCCUCUUCUCUGCUUCAUGUUUCUCUUAGACGCAAACUCAAAAUUCUCAUGGAUUGGCAAUCCAGCAGCCCACCAGGGUUUCAAAAUAUAACCUCUACUCACCACCACCUCCCAAAACGAGAACACAUUUUAAAAUUUGGGGGGAACUGGUGACCAUUUAAGGGAGCGCAAAGGGCAACACUUCCCCAAGGACAAAGUACAGAGAGUUAGGAAAGGAGGCAAAAUGGAAACAGAGACCCAGGGAGGGCAUGGGAUCCAUGAUGGGACAGGGAGAGGC